AGGGUUUGAUCCUGGCUCAGGAUGAACGCUAGCGGCAGGCUUAACACAUGCAAGUCGAGGGGUAACAGGAGAUAGCUUGCUAGAUGACGACCGGCGCACGGGUGCGUAACGCGUAUAGAACCUACCUUUUACAGGGGAAUAGCCCGGAGAAAUUUGGAUUAAUGCCCCAUAGUAUUAUUGAAUGGCAUCAUUUAAUAAUUAAACAUUUAUGGGUAAAAGAUGGCUGCGUUCUAUUAGCUAGAUGGUAAGGUAACGGCUUACCAUGGCAACGAUAGAUAGGGGUCCUGAGAGGGAGAUCCCCCACACUGGUACUGAGACACGGACCAGACUCCUACGGGAGGCAGCAGUGAGGAAUAUUGGACAAUGGAGGCAACUCUGAUCCAGCCAUGCCGCGUGCAGGAAGACUGCCCUAUGGGUUGUAAACUGCUUUUAUAUAGGAAGAAACAUUUCUACGUGUAGAGAUUUGACGGUACUAUAAGAAUAAGGACCGGCUAACUCCGUGCCAGCAGCCGCGGUAAUACGGAGGAUGCAAGCGUUAUCCGGAAUCAUUGGGUUUAAAGGGUCCGUAGGCGGACGAUUAAGUCAGGGGUGAACGUUUGCAGCUCAACUGUAAAAUUGCCCUUGAUACUGGUUGUCUUGAGUCAUUAUGAAGUGAUUAGAAUGUGUAGUGUAGCGGUGAAAUGCAUAGAUAUUACACAGAAUACCGAUUGCGAAGGCAGAUCACUAAUAAUGUACUGACACUGAUGGACGAAAGCGUGGGUAGCGAACAGGAUUAGAUACCCUGGUAGUCCACGCCGUAAACGAUGGUCACUAGCUGUUUGGACUUCGGUCUGAGUGGCUAAGCGAAAGUGAUAAGUGACCCACCUGGGGAGUACGUUCGCAAGAAUGAAACUCAAAGGAAUUGACGGGCGCCCGCACAAGCGGUGGAGCAUGUGGUUUAAUUCGAUGAUACGCGAGGAACCUUACCCGGGCUUAAAUGUAGAGUGGCAGGUCUAGAGAUAGAUUUGUCUUCGGACAUUUUACAACGUGCUGCAUGGUUGCCGUCAACUCGUGCCGUGAGGUGUCGGGUUAAGUCCCAUAACGAGCUCAACCCCUAUCGUUAGUUGCCAGCGAGUCAAGUCGGGGACUCUAAGGAGACUGCCGGUGUAAACCGCGAGGAAGGUGGGGAUGACGUCAAAUCAGCACGGCCCUUACGUCCAGGGCUACACACGUGUUACAAUGGCCGAUACAAAGGGCAGCUACCAGGUGACUGGAUGCUAAUCUCGAAAGUCGGUCUUAGUUCGGAUCGAAGUCUGCAACUCGACUUCGUGAAGCUGGAUUCGCUAGUAAUCGUAGAUCAGCAACGCUACGGUGAAUACGUUCCCGGGCCUUGUACACACCGCCCGUCAAGCCAUGGAAGCUGGGGGUACCUGAAGUCUGUCACCGCAAGGAGCGGCCUAGGGUAAAACUGGUAACUGGGGCUAAGUCGGAACAAGGUAGCC
rnacentral:rRNA from 1 species